AUUGAAAGUUGGCGGGAGGAAGAACACAUGCAAGUCGAGCGGAUGAAGGGAGCUUGCUCCUGGAUUCAGCGGCGGACGGGUGAGUAAUGCCUAGGAAUCUGCCUGGUAGUGGGGGAUAACGUCCGGAAACGGGCGCUAAUACCGCAUACGUCCUGAGGGAGAAAGUGGGGGAUCUUCGGACCUCACGCUAUCAGAUGAGCCUAGGUCGGAUUAGCUAGUUGGUGGGGUAAAGGCCUACCAAGGCGACGAUCCGUAACUGGUCUGAGAGGAUGAUCAGUCACACUGGAACUGAGACACGGUCCAGACUCCUACGGGAGGCAGCAGUGGGGAAUAUUGGACAAUGGGCGAAAGCCUGAUCCAGCCAUGCCGCGUGUGUGAAGAAGGUCUUCGGAUUGUAAAGCACUUUAAGUUGGGAGGAAGGGCAGUAAGUUAAUACCUUGCUGUUUUGACGUUACCAACAGAAUAAGCACCGGCUAACUUCGUG
rnacentral:rRNA from 1 species